GACACGAAAAGAAAUGUGAAAAAGUGAAAAAUGGGUCGGAAGGAGCGGUGACGCUCGGGAUUCUCCUUCUUCUGGUCUCUCUGUGUCAGAUCUAAAACAAGUCUUCACUCUUCUCACGCCUCUUCAGUCUUCACUGUCUUUUUUCUUUUUGUUGCCCAAAAUAAAUUGGAGAACAAAUAAUUUUUUCUUUUAGUUGCAUUCAUAACAAAAUAUAGAUAUAGGAGUAUUAUCUUUUCUGUGACAAAUGUCUUCAGUCUUUAGAUCUCACGUCUGAUCUGUUUUAUUGUUUGGUCCGUUUGAAAUGUCGUCCAACAAAAACGAAUUAAACAUCACAUGCCUAUUUUACUGCCAUUGUUUUUCUUAGAAUACUUAUAUUUUCUUACAUUAUUAAAAGAGUUUUGCUUUUGCUUUUUUUUCCUCUUUAUGAUCGUGUUAAUAUAUAGUACACACAAAUAUGUGUAUUUACAUGCAUAUGAACAAAGCUCUUGGGUCCUUAUAGUUUUGUG